AGAGUUUGAUCCUGGCUCAGGAUGAACGCAAACAAACGGAAUUAAUACAUGCAAGUCGAGGGGCAGCAUGAGUGUCCCAAUACAUUUGAUGGCGACCGGCAAACGGGUGCGGAACACGUACAGAACCUUCCUUCGAGCGGGGAAUAGCCCAAAGAAAUUUGGAUUAAUACCCCAUAGUAUAACGGAGUGGCAUCACUUUGUUAUUAAAGAUUUAUCACUUGAAGAUGGCUGUGCGGCUGAUUAGAUAGUUGGUAGGGUAACGGCCUACCAAGUCUGCGAUCAGCAACUGGUGUGAGAGCACGACCAGUCACACGGGCACUGAGACACGGGCCCGACUCCUACGGGAGGCAGCAGUAAGGAAUAUUGGUCAAUGGACGAAAGUCUGAACCAGCUAUGCCGCGUGGAGGAUGAAGGCCCUCUGGGUUGUAAACUUCUUUUAUAUGGGACGAAAAAGGGACUUUCUAGUCCAACUGACGGUACCAUGUGAAUACCCCCCCCCCUAACUCCGUGCCAGCAGCCGCGGUAAUACGGAGGGUGCAAGCGUUAUCCCGGAUUCACUGGGUUUAAAGGGGAGCGUAGGUGGGUUGGUAAGUCAGUGGUGAAAUCCCCGAGCGAAAUUGUUUCUGCCAUUGAUUCUAUCAGUCUUGAAUACCGUGGAGGUCAGCGGAAUAUGUCAUGUAGCGGGUGAAAUGCUUAGAUAUGACAUAGAACACCAAUUGCGAAGGCAGCUGGCUACCCGAAUAUUGGACUCUUGAGGCUUGAAAAGCGUGGGGAUCAAACAGGGAUAGAUUCCCUUGGUAGUCCACGCCCUAAGCUAUGGAUACUCGACAUACGCGAUUCCACUGUGUGUGUUUGAGCGAAAGCAUUAAGUAUCCCACCUGGGAAGUACGAUCGCAAGAUUGAAACUCAAAGGAAUUGGCGGGGGUCCGCACCAGCGGUGGAGCAUGUGGUUUAAUCCGAUGAUACGCGAGGAACCUUACAUGGGCUAGAAUGCUGGGAGACCGUGGGUGAAAGCUCACUUGUAGCAAUACUCGCCAGUAAGGUGAGCAUGUUUGUCGUCAGCUUAUGCCGUGAGGUUUGGGUUAAGUCUUUCAACGAGCGCAACGCCCAUCACUUUUGCCAUCAGGUAACGCUGGGAACUCUAGUGAAACUGCUUUCGUAAGACGUGAGGAAGGAGGGGAUGAUGUCAAGUCAUCAUGGCUUUUUGCCCAGGGCUACACACACAUACAAUUGGGCGUACAAAGGGCUGCAACAUAGCGAUAUGAACCUAAUCCCAAAAAACGCCUCUCAGUUCAGAUUGGAGUUGGCAACUCGACUCCAUGAAGCUGGUAUCGUUAGUAAUCGUAUAUCAGCAAUGAUACGGGGAAUACGUUCCGGUCCUUGCACACACCGCCCGUCAAGCCAUGGAAGCCGGGUGUACAGGGAAGUCGGUAACC
rnacentral:rRNA from 1 species